rnacentral:tRNA from 1 species
GGACGAAUAGCUCAACGGUAGAGCGGUGGCUUGUUAAGUCAAAGGUUGAAAGUUCGAAUCUUUCUUUGUCCUCAA